CUCUAGCUCAGUACACUGAUCGUGAAAUAUGGGAGGCUCUUGAUAAAUGCCAAUUGGGAGAAAUCAUUCGUGCAAAGGAUAAGAAGCUGGAUGCUACAGUGGUUGAAAAUGGAGAAAACUGGAGCGUAGG